rnacentral:lncRNA from 1 species
AAAGAGAUAAAUAAUGUAGAAAAGAAAUAAUAGAACUCAAUACAAGACUUCGUAAUAAAGUCAGUACAUAAACAUAGAAAAACAAUAAUAUCUAAAACUAAAAAAAUACAACUUUAAACCCUUAAAUUUGAUGUCAUGUGUAUAGAGCUCUAAUACUGGUAGAUAUGAUGAAGUUUGGAAUUAAGCCCUGAACGAGGAGUUCAUUAGACCUACGAAUCAGCCUCGAUCACUGCAUCAUUAGACCUACGAAUCAGCCUCGAUCACUGCACAAUCUCACGCUCUGAUGGUCACAUUUAAGCUAGUAUUUUCACCAAAACAGUAUAGAAUGUAGGAGUAAGUAUGGUCCAUAUGUACUUAGCAACAUGAAACUAAAAAAAUAAGGAAUAAUACCAGCACGCUUCCACUUGCAUACAGAAAAGUUCUCAAUGGUGUCUCAAACUAUAUAUCCCAACAAUUAUUCUAAUCUAAUAUCAAUAUAGUAAAAACUAUACACAAUAUAUAAAUAAUGGCUAAAUAGAUGUUAUCAAAUACAUAAAAGUAAUGCAAUGCAAUAUGAUCAUAAGCCAUCACAUGAUUUCUCUUAUACAUAUUUCGAGAAUAAGCUUCUAGGACAGGACCAAUGGGGAGUUCAAAACCUAUAUACUUUCACAAUGUCAAUCUCACAUGCCCACAAACCUUGCAGGAAAAAUCCUCCAUCGAGGGUUUUAUAUAUUGUUUCUUUUUUUUUCAAAAUUUGAAUUUCCCUAUUGUAACAAUUCCAUGUAUAUGAACAAAUGGAAUAAAGAUGCAUGCUCAUAGCCAAAACAAUAUCACAUAAUGAAUCAUUUUAGUUAUGGUAACAAUUAAGAUCAAAUCUCUUCAUAUCUCUAUAAAUCAUGUGAUAAGUAAUCACAUGACACCUAAAUAAUGAUUAAUCACGUAAGACAUCAAUAAUAUCAGUUCAAGCCUUCGCUCGAGAAUCACAAUAAUGAAAGAUGGAAAAUAUGCUCAACAAAACUAAUAUAAACAUCCAAUCGGGUAUUACCAUAAUAAUCAUCUCUUAAGCCCAAUAAUAAUGAUCACAUAAGCCACAACUCAAGCAUCAUAAUACUAAAACUUUCUCAAAAUAUGAUUUUAAUUGUAAAAUCCCCAAAGCAUAUAAUGCUUUACAUGAAUGAUUAUCUACCAAGCCCAGUUUGAAGAAAUUUAAGCCAUAACAUAUUUAAGAAAGUCAAAUCUAUAACCUGUACACUUCAAAAUUGAGCCUUUCCUUUACAUAAAGCUUUAAAAUGAACCAAAUCUAUUGAAAAAAAAAAAAACAAAAUCUACACAGUAAAAAGGAUCUAAAAAUACCCAUAUUAGCUACUUUCAUAAUGAGUUUGAAAAUGGUUCAAAAGUAAACCACAAAGGAAAAAGGCAAAAAUUGGAAUUUCAUUUAAGAAUCAUGUUUUCUACACUUCAAGGAUCCUAAACAUUAAAACCCAUUGAAAAACAAGUUGAAAUAAAGCAUAAGAUCAAAGGGAAACCAUUUAUCCAAAUAUCGGCAAAAGAUUCAGAAUUCCAUGUUUAGAAUCUAGGUUAUGAAGUUGUUCCCAAGAUAAAAUCAAUGAAUAGUAAUUGAAAUCAUGUUUAGAAGAUUACCAAAAUACAUUUAAUAAAAUCCUUCCUUAAAAUUGUCUUUGUCGAGGUCUUAAUGUCCAAAAAUGGUGAAAAUAAAAAAAAUGGGAAUUUAUACUAUUUAGGUAAAUAGUAACUCCAAAUUGCAGUACAUAUCGCAUGGUCGUGUGGGUCAAUAUUGACUAAUGUAAGGUAACUCAUCACAAUUAUGAGAGGUGGAAUUCACAAUUGUGAUGCUAAACCUAACCCAGUCCACUAGUAUUACCCUUUGUGAAUACAAGCCCCACCAUGUAAUAGGCUACUAGUGGAUUUUAUUACAUAAUUCAUAUCAAUUGUGAUGGUAAGCAUCAUUGAUAUAAAGUCUUGACACCC